GAGGUCAAGCAAAUCCCAUAAAGUUGUUCUCAGUUCGGAUUGUAGUCUGCAACUCGACUACAUGAAGCUGGAAUCGCUAGUAAUCGUAGAUCAGCAUGCUACGGUGAAUACGUUCCCGGGUCUUGUACACACCGCCCGUCACACCACGAGAGUUUGUAACACCCGAAGCCGGUGGAGUAACCUUUUAGGAGCUAGUCGUCGAAGGUGGGACAAAUGAUUGGGGUGAAGUCGUAACAAGGUAGCCGUAUCGGAAGGUGCGGCUGGAUCACCUCCUUU
rnacentral:rRNA from 1 species